rnacentral:rRNA from 1 species
ACUCAAAUGAAUUGACGGGGGCCCGCACAAGCGGUGGAGCAUGUGGUUUAAUUCGACGCAACGCGAAGAACCUUACCUGGGCUCGAACGGCUGCAGACGUCUGGUGGAAACAUUGGAUUCCCCGCAAGGGGCUGUAGUCGAGGUGCUGCAUGGCUGUCGUCAGCUCGUGUCGUGAGAUGUUGGGUUAAGUCCCGCAACGAGCGCAACCCUUGUCCUGUGUUGCCAACCGCAAGGAGCACUCUCAGGAGACCGCCAGCGAUAAGCUGGAGGAAGGUGGGGAUGACGUCAAGUCAUCAUGGCCUUUAUGUCCAGGGCUACACACGUGCUACAAUGGACGGUACAAAGCGCAGCCAACCCGCGAGGGGGAGCAAAUCGCAAAAAACCGUUCUCAGUUCGGAUUGCAGGCUGCAACCCGCCUGCAUGAAGCUGGAAUCGCUAGUAAUGGCAUAUCAGAACGAUGCCGUGAAUACGUUCCCGGGCCUUGCACACACCGCCCGU